UCUCGAGUAGAUGAGAGUCGAUGGGAUAAGCAGCCGGAGGAACUUUUCACCUAAACAUCAUCCAUGUCGACCGUCAUGUUCCGUCGCGAAACCUCCGCAACGUCCCUCUUCGAUGCUCUUGUCCCAGCGGCACCUCAAGAUGUCCUCAAACAGAGGAUUUCCUUCGUUUAUCAGACUCCCACGGCCUACUCCUUCUCAUGCUUCUUCCACAGCUGCGGCUGCUUAUGGCCUCGGCGCUAGUUACCCAUCAUCCGUUUCCUCCGGUUCCUAUUCGAUCUAUGCUGAUCCCCUCGGUGGUGAUUCUCGACCACCGCCUUUACACUUUUCUCUGGCUGCUGACUCUCAGUUGAAAUACGAUGUCUUUCUCAGUUUCCGAGGACCAGAUUCCCGUGAGAAUUUCGUGGGCCACCUCUACAAAGACCUGUGUCGAGAGGGAAUAUAAACUUUUGUAGACAGUGAAAAGCUUGAUGCAGGGGAGGAGAUUGAGCCGGCUUUGUUGGAUGCCAUCGAACGGUCGAGGAUCUCGGUAGUCGUGUUUACCAAGGAAUACGCCUCUUCCAAGUGGUGUUUGAGAGAGCUUGCAAAUAUCAUGGAGUGUAGGAGGACCCGAGGCCAAAUAGUUUUGCCUGUCUUUCUCGGUGUAGAACCCAUGGAGGUCAGGUGGCAAGGGGAAGCUACAGUGUGGCCUUUUCUAGGCAUGAUAAGGCUCCCGAGGGAUCAAAACUACAGUGAGGCCUGCAUCUUAACUUGUGGAUGAAAUUGUUGCACAUGUUUUGAAAAACCUAGAAAACAUAAGCUUGAGUGAAGACGAGGGCUUGGUGGGAGCUUAUACUCAAGUAAAGGAAGUGGAAGCGUUGUUGGGACAUGAAUUACAUUUACAUGAAGUGCGGACUAUAGGGAUAUGUGGAAUUGGUGGUAGUGGGAAGACUGCCAUCGAUGGAGCUGUUUUCAAUCGUCAAUACCAAAUGUUCGACAGCUACUGCUUCCUUGCAAACGUUAGAGAACAGUCUAAGAAGCAUGGACUUCAUGCUUUGAGAAACAAGCUUCUUUGUCAAAUUAUUGGUCAGACUGAUAUAAACAUUGCUACGCCUGAAAUUGGAUCCAGCAGUAUAAAGAACCGUCUACGUCGAAAAAGAGUACUUAUAGUUCUCGACGAUGUAAGCAGCAUAACUCAACUGGAGUUUUUGAUCAGCAAAACUACUUACUAUUCCCCUGGAAGUAGGAUCAUUGUCACAACACGAGACAUGAAUGUAAUCAAGAACGCUGACGAGAUAUAUUCUCUGAGGGGACUAUCUGAUAGUGAUUCGCUUGAACUGUUUUCACAAUGCGCCUUCAAACAGAGCUACCCUCCUGAAGAAUAUUACAGCUCAUUGACAGAUAUGACAUAUGAUCAUUGAUCAGUCUGUGAUGGCAUACUCAAGGUCAAUCGGCAAGUUUCAUCUUAAUCAAAGUGUUCAUUUAAGUAUUUGGAUGACGCAUCCAUAAAAAACAUUCAAAUGCAGGAUCUAGACUCAACGCUUAGAUGAUAUUUUUUUUUUCUAAACUCAGUUUCUCCUUCUAGAUGUUGUAUUUGGAUACAAUUUUGAUGGGUUAUGAGUUUGUAAAAGUACUCUUUCAAUGCAAAAUGACUAAAACUGGCAUAUAUGUUAGUCGUUUGUUAUAUGAUUGAAUUUAUUGAA